rnacentral:misc_RNA from 1 species
UAUUAUCAACCCCACCAGCUUUUGUAGUUGGGUUUUUGGUGGUUUGGAUAUGGAGGUUUGCAGGCACUUUUGAAGUGUCAGCUCCUCUGAAAUGCAUUAGCAGAACCGAUUGCAAUCUGUUAAACUGGUGUGAUAAUUGUCUACGCUAGUAGGAUUGCUCUCUGUAUGUUCAGCUUCUAAUAGUUUCCCACUGAGUGGAUAGCAUAUGAAC